UACAGAGGUUGCAAGCGUUAAUCGGAUUUACUGGGCGUAAAGCGUGUGCAGGUGGCUGUACAAGUCGGUUGUGAAAUCCCUGGGCUCAACCCGGGAACUGCUUCCGAGACUGUACGGCUAGAGAUCGGUAGAGGGCGGUGGAAUUUCCGGUGUAGCGGUGAAAUGCGUAGAUAUCGGAAGGAACACCAAUGGCGAAGGCAGCCGCCUGGGCCUGAUCUGACACUGAGACACGAAAGCGUGGGGAUUAAACAGG
rnacentral:rRNA from 1 species